rnacentral:rRNA from 1 species
UACGAAGGGGGCUAGCGUUGCUCGGAAUCACUGGGCGUAAAGGGCGCGUAGGCGGCCAUUCAAGUCGGGGGUGAAAGCCCAGGGCUCAACCCUGGAAUUGCCUUCGAUACUGUUUGGCUAGAGACCGGAAGAGGUAAGUGGAACUGCGAGUGUAGAGGUGAAAUGCGUAGAUAUCGGGAGGAACACCAGUGGCGAAGGCGACUACCUGGCCUGUUCUUGACGCUGAGGCGCGAAAGCUAGGGGAGCAAACGGG